rnacentral:sRNA from 1 species
UACCAAGGAUUUUAAAGGACAUAGAUAUAGGAGAACUGAAAUUCUGAAUUUUUGUUUACAAAUAAUCUUCUAUGGUUUAAAAUGUCUUUGUUUGGAUAUGUCUCAUUAAUAGAUCUUAAAUCUUUUCCGAAAGUUCCCAUUUGGCAUCUUAAUGCAACAUGCAUAAAGAAGUGAAAUCAAUAUGGACAAUCUUAUCAAGUUAGAAGUAAUUCAAAAACAAUAUCAGAUCUCAAUUUGCCUGACUGCUGGGAUUUAUGAGGUCUGUUUAAUAAAAUGGGCUACGUGGCAUUUGUUUCGAACAUGUGUUCUUAGUUCAGCAGGCUGGUGCUAAGUUCAGUUCAAUUAUUGCGGGGCAUAUAUCAAAGAAUUUUAUUUUUUAAAAUGUUGUAAAUGAAAUUGUUUUCAAAAGCCCUUGAAAUAUCAAAUGGUUCUGUAAGAAAAAUUUACAAUUGGAAUGUGGAAACGAUGUAUGUAACUGGAGGCACUCAUUUAAAAAAUUUAAAAACAUCAAAGACCGAUGAAAAGUUCUAGGGGAUUCGAGAAAGCAGUACGCUCGUGCAACAUAAUUUUGGUUCGUAAACUUCAUUUCGACCAAGAAUAAGCCAUAGCAUCAGAAUUGUUCUAGAAAUGUUCAAUGAGUUUAACAAAGAUCAAUCAUAUGGCAGAUGGUUGUGCGUACCGACUUGGUCCGAUGGAGACUUUCAUCGGCAAGGGCUGCCGCCUCAGUGCUGCACUGCUACAACAACAACAAAGAUCCAGCAUUUAGGGGUAAUAACUUUUGCCGGAGUCACCGUCUGGGAUCGAAUCCUGGCAAGCACAUCAGAAACAUUUUCACGGUGGUUAUGCUAACUACAUAUGUGUGUAAAAACUUAUCCCCAAAGAGGCGGCAAGCCGUUCGGACUCGGCUAUAGUAAGCACUCAUUGAUGUAAGAAGUUUUCCUCCCGUUCCUUGAUAGAAUGUUCGUGGGAAAAUUUGCAAUUUAAACAUUGCAUGGGACAUAAUUUUCUUAGCUCUGUAGGACUGUUUCAAAAAUUGGGGACGCCCAUAAGUUGAGAGCUUUAAGUCAAACCAAAUAGUUCAUAAUGGAAUUGUGGUACUGGGGCUAAGAGGAAACACUUUGAGACGCAUUUGAUAGAAUAUAAACAAAUAAAAAAAGUUUGUAAAAUUGUGUUUUGCAAAAAUAAAUCCCCUUACUGGUAUGAACAGGCCUCGCACAUAAUUAAAGUUGACGAAUGCCUAAACUAAA